rnacentral:lncRNA from 1 species
GAAUAAGCGAAUAGCACUUGUGAUAUAUGUGAAGAAUAGAGAGUAGCUUGACCAAUUAUAAAUAAUAUGUAAACAUUAGCCAAACAUCAAUAAAUUCAUUACCUGAACCAUGCAAUGAAACCAUGGAUGAAUUAUAUACAGCUGGGAAAAAAGGGAAGCUUAAGUUAUGACAAAACUGUGAAGCAAAAAACUUCACCUGAAAUAGCUUCAAUGUUCCACAAAAUUUGGAGCUCUUUUCGUGUCGUUGCUUUGAAAAGAUGAUGUAGAAUCCUUUUCUCAUGAAAUGUUAUCUCCUAAAAAUGAAAAAACUCUCCUUUUAAAAACCCGAGCUAAGUCAAAAAUUUCAGAUUCCCGAAUUUGCCUCGUCAUAUUAUCUUCCUGCCAUAAGCACUUGAUUUUAUGAGUCAAUCUGUUAGCAAUGUCGACUGUCAAGCUUGCCAUAUCUCUCCUGUUUGUCAAUGCUCGUAAAACAGGGAUGGAGUAUUGAGGAUGCGAGACAAGUCUGUUCAAGAGAAUGAGCGUCUCCCGAAUGAGUAAGCUUCUGUAAGGGUAAAGUAGGAGUUGAGUAUAAUGAACAAGAACAGAGAAAAAAGCAAGAAGUUGGUCAAAAAACUUCGACUAAAAGUAAUUUUAACUUCUAAAGAUG